GUCGAGCGAGCAGAACCAGCAGAUUUACUUCGGUAAUGACGCUGGGGACGCGAGCGGCGGAUGGGUGAGUAACACGUGGGGAACCUGCCCCAUAGUCUGGGAUACCACUUGGAAACAGGUGCUAAUACCGGAUAAGAAAGCAGAUCGCAUGAUCAGCUUAUAAAAGGCGGCGUAAGCUGUCGCUAUGGGAUGGCCCCGCGGUGCAUUAGCUAGUUGGUAAGGUAACGGCUUACCAAGGCAAUGAUGCAUAGCCGAGUUGAGAGACUGAUCGGCCACAUUGGGACUGAGACACGGCCCAAACUCCUACGGGAGGCAGCAGUAGGGAAUCUUCCACAAUGGACGCAAGUCUGAUGGAGCAACGCCGCGUGAGUGAAGAAGGUUUUCGGAUCGUAAAGCUCUGUUGUUGGUGAAGAAGGAUAGAGGCAGUAACUGGC
rnacentral:rRNA from 1 species